CUCCUUUGACGUUAGCGGCGGACGGGUGAGUAACACGUGGGUAACCUACCUAUAAGACUGGGAUAACUUCGGGAAACCGGAGCUAAUACCGGAUAAUAUUUCGAACCGCAUGGUUCGAUAGUGAAAGGUGGUUUUGCUAUCACUUAUAGAUGGACCCGCGCCGUAUUAGCUAGUUGGUAAGGUAACGGCUUACCAAGGCGACGAUACGUAGCCGACCUGAGAGGGUGAUCGGCCACACUGGAACUGAGACACGGUCCAGACUCCUACGGGAGGCAGCAGAA
rnacentral:rRNA from 1 species